CCAUCCACAGAGCUGCAUCAGAUCU
rnacentral:misc_RNA from 1 species